rnacentral:rRNA from 1 species
CGGACGGGUGAGUAAUGUCUGGGAAACUGCCUGAUGGAGGGGGGUAACUACUGGAAACGGUAGCUAAUACCGCAUAACGUCGCAAGACCAAGAGGGGGACCUUCGGGCCUCUUGCCAUCGGAUGUGCCCAGAUGGGAUUAGCUAGUAGGUGGGGUAACGGCUCACCUAGGCGACGAUCCCUAGCUGGUCUGAGAGGAUGACCAGCCACACUGGAACUGAGACACGGUCCAG